rnacentral:sRNA from 1 species
UGCCUAAACAUACGGCGAUAGCCGGUGCAUGGCGCGAAGACCAGUAACGAACAGAGAACCCAUCAUGGGAUUGUCGUUACUGGCCGUAUCGGGAAACCGGUACGCCGCCGCAAGGCGG